AAAAGGAAACUUCCCUGUGGCUAAGGUCUAGUUCUGGCAUUACCCUGUUGUGUGUAGUCAAGUCUAACACAAACACAUCUUCAGCUGCGGAACACUGGCAUCCUGGCUACGCCGCCAAGUCAGGGUAUGGAGGAGCACACCCAGCUUGAAUGGAGUCUUGAAAGGAACAGAGUGGAACAACAGGAAAUCAAGUUGGCUGAAGAAAACAGCUAUGAAGCCAAAAGGGAAGGGGUAGAUCUGGCGAACUCUCUUGGUUCAUUACAUCAUUUAUUCAUUUGUUUUGUGGGAAGAUCAAGGUGGGCACAUGGAUUUGUGUGUCUGCACAGGCGAGUGGACAGCUACGCAGAGCUGGUUCUCUCCUGCCCAUCGUGUGGGAUCGGGGGAUGGAAUUUAGGCUGUCAGUCUUGGUGGCAAACAUCUUGACCUGGCGAACCAUCUUGCCCAGGCCUUUUUGCCCAUUCUCAAAUCAAACUGUUUGAUUCCCUUCCUGUGGAGUUUUAAGAGUUCUGUAAACUUAAUAAAAAUUUCAAAAACUA